rnacentral:rRNA from 1 species
UACGUAGGUGGCGAGCGUUGUCCGGAUUUACUGGGCGUAAAGGGAGCGUAGGCGGACUUUUAAGUGAGAUGUGAAAUACCCGGGCUCAACUUGGGUGCUGCAUUUCAAACUGGAAGUCUAGAGUGCAGGAGAGGAGAAUGGAAUUCCUAGUGUAGCGGUGAAAUGCGUAGAGAUUAGGAAGAACACCAGUGGCGAAGGCGAUUCUCUGGACUGUAACUGACGCUGAGGCUCGAAAGCGUGGGGAGCAAACAGGAUUAGAUACCCCAGUA